UCACGUGUCGUUCAAGUAGAAAAAAGAGUGAUGGAUCAUACUUAGGUGGAGAGUCCACUGAGGUUCCGUCGAGGUUCCGAUCCGCGGUUCCCACUAUUACAUCAAAAUGAAAAAAAGAUUACAUACUCUCGAAAUCUAAGAGUUACAAAAUUCCUAUCUAAAUUCCAUCUAGAGUCUUGUCUUGAUUCUUGAUUUGCUUCUCCCAGUGACUUUGGAUUGAAACUUGAUGCUCUUGAUGCAGCAGACUACGACAUAUUCUUUCAUUCUUGUUUCUUGAUCCGACGAUGGGCAGAAAGAUCUUGACCAUAUGUCUCCGCAUGCAUUACACAAAAGCUGGUUGUAGCUUGUAUUGAGACCAAACGUUCC
rnacentral:lncRNA from 1 species